CCAGCACACACUCCCAUCCUCUAGGUGAAGCCCAGUGCGGACUCCCAGCCUCAAGGUGAAGCCCAACACAGACUCCCAUCCACAAGGUGAAGCCACAGUGCGGACUCCCAACCUCAAGGUGAAGCCCAGCGCAGACCCCCAGCCUCAAGGUGAAGCCCAGCGCAGACCCCCAGCCUCAAGGUGAAGCCCAGCGCAAACCCCCAGCCUCAAGGUGAAGCCCAGCACACACUCCCAUCCUCUAAGUGUAGCCAGCACAGACUCCCAUCCUCAAGGUGAAGCCCAGCGCAGACUCCCAGCCUCAAGGUGAAGCCCAGCACAGACGCCCAUCCUCAAGGUGAAGCUCAGCGCAGACUCCCAGCCUCAAGCUGUCACCCAGCGUGAACUCUCAGCCUCAAGGUGAAACUCCCCGCAGACUCCCAGCCUCAAGGUGAAGCCCAGCGCAGACCCCCGGCCUCAAGGUGAAGCCCAGCGCAGAUUCCCAGCCUCAAGGGGAAGCCCAGCGCAGACCCGCAGCCUCAAGGUGAAGCCCAGCACACACUCCCAUCCUCUAAGUGUAGCCCAGCACAGAUUCCCAGCCUCAAGGGGAAGCCCAGCGCAGACUCUCGGCAUCAAGGUGAAGCCCAGUGCAGACUCAAAGCCUCAAGGUUAAGCCUCGCGCAGACCCCAUCCUCAAGGUGAAGCCCAGCGCAGACUCCCAGCCUCAAGGUGAAGCCCAGUGCGGACUCCUGGCCUCGAGGUGAAGUCCAGUGCUGACUCCUGGCCUCGAGGUGAAGUCCAAUGCGGAAUCCCAGCCUCGAGGUGAAGCCCAGCGCAG